UACAGAGGGUGCGAGCGUUAAUCGGAAUUACUGGGCGUAAAGCGCACGUAGGUGGCGACGUAAGUCGGGUGUGAAAUCCCCGGGCUCAACCUGGGAACUGCAUCUGUGACUGUAUAGCUAGAGUACGGUAGAGGGGGAUGGAAUUCCGCGUGUAGCAGUGAAAUGCGUAGAUAUGCGGAGGAACACCGAUGGCGAAGGCAAUCCCCUGGACCUGUACCGACGCUCAUGCACGAAAGCGUGGGGAGCAAACAGG
rnacentral:rRNA from 1 species